rnacentral:rRNA from 1 species
AUUGAACGCUGGCGGAAUGCUUUACACAUGCAAGUCGAGCGGCAGCGCGGGGGCAACCCUGGCGGCGAGCGGCGAACGGGUGAGUAACAUAUCGGAACGUACCCUGUCGUGGGGGAUAACUAUCCGAAAGGAUAGCUAAUACCGCAUACGACCUGAGGGUGAAAGCGGGGGACCGCAAGGCCUCGCGCGAUAGGAGCGGCCGAUAUCGGAUUAGCUAGUUGGUGAGGUAAAGGCUCACCAAGGCGACGAUCCGUAGCGGGUCUGAGAGGACGACCCGCCACACUGGAACUGAGACACGGUCCAGACUCCUACGGGAGGCAGCAGUGGGGAAUUUUGGACAAUGGGGGCAACCCUGAUCCAGCCAUUCCGCGUGAGUGAAGAAGGCCUUCGGGUUGUAAAGCUCUUUCAGCAGGAACGAAACGGUGAGGGUUAAUACCCUUUACUAAUGACGGUACCUGAAGAAGAAGCACCGGCUAACUACGUGCCAGCAGCCGCGGUAAAUGUAGACGUCU